rnacentral:rRNA from 1 species
AGAGUUUGAUCCUGGCUCAGAUUGAACGCUGGCGGCAGGCCUAACACAUGCAAGUCGAACGGUAACAGGAAGAAGCUUGCUUCUUUGCUGACGAGUGGCGGACGGGUGAGUAAUGUCUGGGAAACUGCCUGAUGGAGGGGGAUAACUACUGGAAACGGUAGCUAAUACCGCAUAACGUCGCAAGACCAAAGAGGGGGACCUUCGGGCCUCUUGCCAUCGGAUGUGCCCAGAUGGGAUUAGCUUGUUGGUGGGGUAACGGCUCACCAAGGCGACGAUCCCUAGCUGGUCUGAGAGGAUGACCAGCCACACUGGAACUGAGACACGGUCCAGACUCCUACGGGAGGCAGCAGUGGGGAAUAUUGCACAAUGGGCGCAAGCCUGAUGCAGCCAUGCCGCGUGUAUGAAGAAGGCCUUCGGGUUGUAAAGUACUUUCAGCGGGGAGGAAGGGAGUAAAGUUAAUACCUUUGCUCAUUGACGUUACCCGCAGAAGAAGCACCGGCUAACUCCGUGCCAGCAGCCGCGGUAAUACGGAGGGUGCAAGCGUUAAUCGGAAUUACUGGGCGUAAAGCGCACGCAGGCGGUUUGUUAAGUCAGAUGUGAAAUCCCCGGGCUCAACCUGGGAACUGCAUCUGAUACUGGCAAGCUUGAGUCUCGUAGAGGGGGGUAGAAUUCCAGGUGUAGCGGUGAAAUGCGUAGAGAUCUGGAGGAAUACCGGUGGCGAAAGCGGCCCCCUGGACGAAGACUGACGCUCAGUGCGAAAGCGUGGGAGCAAACAGGAUUAGAUACCCUGGUAGUCCACGCCGUAAACGAUGUCGAACUUGGAGGUUGUGCCCUUUGAGCGUGUCUUUCGGAGCUAACGCGUUAAGUCGACCGCCUGGGGAGUACGGCCGCAAGGUUAAAACUCAAAUGAAUUGACGGGGGCCCGCACAAGCGGUGGAGCAUGUGGUUUAAUUCGAUGCAACGCGAAGAACCUUACCUGGUCUUGACAUCCACGGAAGUUUUCAGAGAUGAGAAUGUGCCUUCGGGAACCGUGAGACAGGUGCUGCAUGGCUGUCGUCAGCUCGUGUUGUGAAAUGUUGGGUUAAGUCCCGCAACGAGCGCAACCCUUAUCCUUUGUUGCCAGCGGUCCGGCCGGGAACUCAAAGGAGACUGCCAGUGAUAAACUGGAGGAAGGUGGGGAUGACGUCAAGUCAUCAUGGCCCUUACGACCAGGGCUACACACGUGCUACAAUGGCGCAUACAAAGAGAAGCGACCUCGCGAGAGCAAGCGGACCUCAUAAAGUGCGUCGUAGUCCGGAUUGGAGUCUGCAACUCGACUCCAUGAAGUCGGAAUCGCUAGUAAUCGUGGAUCAGAAUGCCACGGUGAAUACGUUCCCGGGCCUUGCACACACCGCCCGUC